UAAUUAAAAAUAUGUUUUAAGAUAACAACAAAAUAUAUAAGAAUUAUCUUUUUUAAAAUUAAUAAUAAUAUUAUUAAUAGAAAUUCGUUUUUUAUUAUAUAGUUAAUUAUAUAUAAAUUCAUUAAGGGUAAUAUAGAUAUUAACCGCUCUAACUUUUAAUGUGAGAGCUCUAUUGCUAAAAUUUACUUCGCAAAUAAUAGUAUAGAGAUUUAGGGGUGAGAUUGUAGUUAGAGUUUCUGAUUUAUAUUUAGUCUUUUUAUUUAAUGUGAUAUUUUGAGAUUUUUUCUGCUAAUUUCGUUAGAAGUUUAUAAAAAAAUCUAUUUAUGGAAUUUUUCCAAUAUCAUUUUAAAAUUAUUAUCUUAUUAUGAGACAUUCUAUAUUUUAAUAUGGUGAUAAUAUGUUUGUUGCUAUUAAAUGAUAACUUAGGUGAAACGUAGUUCGACUUUCUACAAAUAUGUCUAUGUAUCCUUUUCAUUGUUUUUGAGUUAUUUUCUUUGUUAAACCCAUGAUAUUUUGCUUAAGUAAUAUUUUAUGACGAAUUCUAAAUAAAACUACAAGGAUUCCAAAAUUUAUAAUAAAAUGUCAAAUCUCAUGAUUACAAAAUCUAAUUAUAUUUAUGCAAUAACAACAUUAUUUUGUAAUUGUGAGGUGGUCAAAAUUUACAAAACAUCCUAUAACUCUAAAACUAUCAUAAAAUGUUACCUCUCAAACUUUAAACAUACAAAAAAAUUCAACUUUAAAACAAAGAUGGGAGUCAUGGGACAAAUUUCAAUUGUUAGUAAACUUAUGCCAAGAAGAGUAGCAAAAUCAGUAAGACAAACUAUAACAUGCGUAUACAUUAACAUGCAAAAUUCAAUUAUUCAACCAAAGAAAAUAAGAAAUCGUUAAUUGUGGGUAUUGAUACAUUUUUAUAAUUCUUAUCCGCAGCGUAGCGCAGAUAUUUUCCUAGUUGUUCAACAAAAUUGAAUGUGUGAGAGAAGUCCUACAAGUGGAGUCAGACUUGCGAAGCGAAAGAGUCAACCUAACAUGUCUUAUGGAAGUAGAAAAAUUUAAUAAAGAGACGUGAUUAUGAAAGACUAAUAUGUUUGCAAAUUUAAAAUUCAUGGUUUGAUGGAAUUGUAGGGUAAAAAUACUAAAAAAGUUUAUGUAGCUUUGAGUCUUGGUUUACAAGAGAAGAAAGAGAAAGACAAAUAGUACGAUCAUUGAGAACCCUGAAAAAUAUGUUGUGAGCCACUACAAUUGUAAAAUUACAGUUCUAGAGAUGUUUGUUUUGUUUGGACUUAUUAAGGAUAAAUAUUUUGUGUGUGUGUGUGUAUAUAUCGUUUUCUUAUAUGUAGCAAUCUUAACCGGACUUUAAAAGAAAAAAUGGUAACCGGACUUCAUCAUUUGUAUAUUUGCUUGUGUCUCAAUUCUGAUUUAAAAAAAAACAGAAUUAACGUAUGCGAUUCUACUGUGACCGGAUAUUUAAUAGUGUUUAUAUAUAAUAGUGUUUCCCUCACUCUUAAGCCAUCCACGUCAGAAAUUCAGUGAUUCUGGACGCGCCACGUGUCCUCCAAAAGUGGUAUGCUGCGUUUCAUUAAUAGAGUUGUGCACGUGUCCUUCUAAUCUGGGCUUCGUGUUUACUUUGGUCUUCUGUGCAAUUCGUUUGGGUUUAUUAUCAUAUAUGGCCUUUUGUUGUCUCCACCUUAGAUGAAGCGCCACGUUUCAGUUAAACCGUGUUCUUCUUCGUUGCCUCUCCAGAACUUGUGUCGGUUAGGUCUUCGUAAUAGCUCUUUCAUUUUCUUCCUCAGAGACAAAAACAUACCUGUUACGAAUAAUUAUCUUAAAACUCUCCAUUAAUCUCUCACACAUGAUUCCUAUUCAAUGCUAUUUCUGGAAAGACGGGCCGCUACUCCUCCACUGUUUAAGUCCGGUUGCUCCAUUUAUGGGAGGCCAGGAAUGUCCACCGUGGUGGAGAGCUCAUGGGAGUAGUGGAUAUGCUCCUUCUUGGUUCUCAGGUAUCUUAUUUAACUCGGCCUUUUGUUCAUGAACAGCAUUCUUUCACAAUUUUUUUACUAUUUGAAAAAACGAAGAAAAUAAUAUAAGAGAAAACCAAAAUUUAUUUUAUAUAUGACAAUAUUAGUUUGUUUUGUUAUUUAUAUUGUUUGAGGAAUAAGUUUAAAGAUGUCGGAUCGUAUAAGGAAUAUUUCAAAAUAUUUAUUUGCUAGUAUUGUGAAUAUAUAAAUUUAAAUCGUUGGAGGAAAACUAAGAUGUGUGUUAACAACCUAAUUAAAAAUAUUAUUUUUGGUUAAAUAAGUUAAGAUCAAGAGACAUUAAUAUUUGUUACUACAAAUAAUAUCACUUAAUAAGAAAUAUCACUAAUAAUCACCUCAUUUAAAUUUUUACCAUAAUUUUUUUGACAUCAAUUCUUACCAUAAAUAAGAGGAGAAUUUAGUGGUUUUGUUAUAUAUAAAUUCAUUCGGCUUAAGGAUAAUGUAGGGAUAUUAAUUAUAUUAUAUAGUACUUUUAAAUUUUUUAACCAACAAGUAAGUUGGGUUCAACUUUAUGCUUAUGUUUUAAUUGUAUUGAUUUUCAAGUGAUAUUAGAAUAUAUGUUGGAUAUGAAUCUCCAUUGAUAUUUAAGAAUCUAGAUUCAUCUCCCAAGAUUAUAAGUACGAUUCGAUCUACAUGCUAAAAUUGAAUUAGUAUUUCCAAGAUAAGAGAGAAAAUUAUGCUAGAUGUUAAAUUUAUUUGUCCAUUUAAAAGCUUAUCAAUUAUAAUGAGAAUUGUGUAUUUCAAGAGGUUAAGCAUGACAGGUCUAAGCUCAAAGACAAUGCCUCAACUUGCUGAUUCUAUACAUGCUGCAGUUACCCGCAUCGUCUAAUCUAGUGAUUCUGUUCUUUGUUGUUUCAUAAGAAAUUGGGUUAAAACAUAUUUCUUGGUUUACAUUUCACAAAGACUCAUACGAUUUUCUUGUUUUUCUUCGUGUUUGUGAUUCUAUACGUUUUUCUCGUAAUAUUUCUUGAUGGAAUUGUAAGCUCAAGAACUUGGAGCUUGAUAGGUUGCUGCUGUGGUGGAGUUUUGGUUCGUGUACAUGUGUUACACAUGGAGAGUAAUGUGUGACACAUGCUUCGGAGAAUAA